UGCGUAGGCGGCGGCGCAAGUUGGGUGUGAAAUCCCUCGGCUCAACCGAGGAACUGCGCUCAAAACUGCGUCGCUUGAGGGAGAUAGAGGUGAGUGGAACUUAGGGUGGAGCGGUGAAAUGCGUUGAUAUCCUAAGGAACACCAGUGGCGAAAGCGACUCACUGGGUCUCUUCUGACGCUGAGGCACGAAAGCUAGGGUAGCAACG
rnacentral:rRNA from 1 species